AUGCCUGUACACUGUAACUUUUGGGAAGAGAAGUUUAGACACAGACCUGAACAAAAGGAAGAUGAUGUGAAGACAGAGGGAGAAGAUGGCCAUCUAGAGGCCAAGGUAGUCUUGAGAUUCAUUUCAUACAGCUUCUCAGAGACUGAUUCCGAAAGAUGCAGCAAUUCAUCAUGUUUUACUGUGGCCAGCUUGACAAUGCAUCACCAUUUUCUUCCCUGCCUCACUCCCCAACCCCUCAUUCUUGCUUCUGUACACUCCCUAAAAAGUAGAUGCAAGUAGACCUUCUUAAGGCUCAGCUUUUUCCCCUUCCUCUUUUUUCAAGCUAAGACAAGGAGUUUGCCUGUCCUUACAGCCUCCAGUUGGAAAUGAACCUAGUACUCCUUAGCUCUUCGAGUGCCAGAAUUAUAUGUAGAGAAGAAUUUUUACAUUGUUACCCAUGCCCUAACACCUGAUCCUUGGUAGGAGAUUGAGGGUUCAGUCUUUAAAGGUGAGGUUCCCCCCAAAAUCAUUACAUAUGAAACUUCCUUACCAUUUCCAGUAUCACAUUCCACUUAUGUAUGUUUC
rnacentral:lncRNA from 1 species